ensembl:lncRNA novel transcript
UUUGCGGGAACAAGAUGGCAGCCCUCAUACCUCAAGGGUUCUCUUGUUUAUCGAGGGUUUUGGGCUGGUGGUCUCGGCAGAAAAGGAGUUUAUGCAACAUGCCCGGAAAGCAGGAUUGGUUAUUCCUCCAGAAAAAUCGGACCGUUCCAUACAUCUGGCCUGUACAGCUGGUAUAUUUGAUGCCUAUGUUCCUCCUGAGGGUGAUGCACGCAUAUCAUCUCUUUCAAAGGAGAGAUGAUAGAGAGAACUGAUAGAGAGAACUGAACGAAUGAAGAAGACUAUGGCAUCACAAGUGUCAUUUUAUUGGCUGGGUGCGGUGGCUCACGUCUGUAAUCCCAGCACUUUGGGAGGCUGAGGUGGGCAGAUCACCUGAGGUCAGGAAUCGAAAACCAGCCUGACCAACGUGGAGAAACCUCGUCUCUACUAAAAAUGCAAAAUUAGCCGGGCGUGGUGGCACAUGCCUGUAAUCCCAGCUACUCAAGAGGCUGAGGCAGGAGAAUCGCUUGAACCUGGGAGGCGGAGGUUGCGGUGAGCUGAGAUCGUGCCAUUGCACUCCAGCCUGGGCAACAAGGGCGAAACUCUGUCUCAAAAAAUAAUAAUAAUAAAAAAGAUUUUAUCAUAUCAC